rnacentral:tRNA from 1 species
CCUUAUAAAGGGUUAAAGCACCGGACUAACGAUUCGGAGUCGUGGGUUCUAAUCCCACCAUAACGA